AGUAGCAACAAUUUGUCUCCCUGUAUAUAUCUCGGAAAAAUGGAUCUAUGCUCUUCUCCAGUUAGUGAUGUAUUAUCACUGUUUUGAAGUAACACAUUGUUAGGGUUUUUCUUUAUUUUAUGGAGAAGAUGCAUUUGUCUCAGAAAUUUUUCAGUGGAGCUAUCAAUACACGAAAUAAAUUGUCUGUUGUUAGAUCUGAACUGCAUAUCUGUAGAUAAUAUAUUUUUGUACUCUGUUGUGCUCUAGCAAGCAUCAUGGCUGAAUCAUAAUGAACAUUUGAUUCCUCUAUCAAAAACACAUACAAACACACUUACACACACAAAUUUCACUCUGCCUUCCCUGUCUUUGACAGCACAAAGUUUAAAUAACUGGAGGAAUUUAUAAAGCAGUUAUAUAAAAUCCAUAGCCAGACCAUUAAGAAUUCAAAUAUCUAAGCCAUUAAGAGACUGAAAAUAGCCAGGCAGCAUAAAUUUUGUAAAUGCUCCAUUUUCUUUGCUUCCCUUGCAUUUAGAAAGAAUUCCUGAAGAAAUGCCCCCUGCAUCUGCUUUACCCCACCUGCAAGGCACACUUGCAAAUUCUUUCAAUGUGUACAUCAUUACCGGAGACUAAAUUUUCAUAUACCCAUGCCAGUCUCUUCCCUACUCCCCUUACUGCUUCCUUGUUCUUAUUUAGGUAAGAAGUCACACCCAGCUGGUGGAGGACUACUUCUCUGAUGCUCUUUCUUACGAAGAAUGGUUGGAAGUAGUGGGAAAUAUCCAGAUUAUCACACAUUUUUUCUUCCCAUUUUGGAAAGGAAUCCUUUCUUUCCUUCAGAGAAAAAGGCAGCGAUAUUGAAGUUUCCACAAAGAGAGUUUGUCCCUUGAGUGUUUUUACAGGCAUUUGUGCUGAAGAGAUGUUAAGAAGAGCAGCAUUUCACAUGAAAUAUAUUCCUGUUGCUCGGGAUUCUGCUUCUUGAUGCUUGUGACGUUGCAACUCCCCAAGUUUCUCAGCCCUCUGAGGAACCCUGCAGCAGAAAUAAGGAAGCCAGAACUUAAUAUCUCUCAUUUUUAAAAAAAACCAGAAGCAACAGCACUUCAAGGUUUGUCUUUAUUUGCAACAAAGAAUGGUGUAGAGGCUUGCUUUGGGACCACUGAUAUAUCA
rnacentral:lncRNA from 1 species